rnacentral:rRNA from 1 species
AUGUUCUUCUCCGGCGACCCGACGUCGAGGAAGCGGGUGGACCUGGGCGGGCGGAGCAACAAGGAGCGCGACCGCCAGGUGCUGCUCGAGCAGACGCGCGAGGAGCGGCGCCGCCGCCUCGCACUGCGCCUCCAGAACUCCUCCGCCACCAAGAUCCAGAAAUGCUUCAGAGGGAGGAAGGCAUUCGAAUUGGCACGCUUGGAAGUUCGAAAGAACUUUUGUUCUACUUUUGGGGAACACUGCCAGAGGGUAGAUAGGAACUGCUUUGGCAAUAAUACUGAUUUUCUUCGCCAAUUGCUGUUCUUCUUCAAUGCAAGUAAAGACAGUGAUAUUGCUAUACUUUCUCAAGUCUGCAGCUUACUUCUGCAGUAUGUUAAGCAUGGGGAUGUUGUAAGUCUCUUUGCGGGUGUAGAUUACUCCUCAGUGGAGCCAGUUGUAAUUCAUAGGGUUAAAAGACUUGCACUCAUCUGUGUGCAUGCUGUUCAUCAGAAGAGGUAUGAUUGGAAUAAUCAACUUUUGAUGUCAGUGCAAAGCACAUCAAUGCCUUUUGUCCAAUUACUAGAAGCUGUGGCUUGUUUGAUAAAUCCUAAACUGCCGUGGAACUGCAAAGUAGUUGGGUAUCUUCAGCAGAAAAAGAUUUAUUGCUUAUUUCGGGGAAUUAUCAGUGCAGUACCGCAAAAUGCAAGAAAUAUGGAGCACUGUGAUAUAUCUGCGCUGGAGCAAGUUCUCAUGCUUACUGCUUCACAUGUUGGUGAUAAUCAAUGUUGUUGUCCAGCUGUGGAUCCAAGAUGGAGUUUUUCCUCGCAGCUUCUAUCCAUUCCUUUUCUCUGGCAUCGUUUGCCACACUUCAAGAAGGUUUUCUCUGCUAAUGGGCUCAGCAAAUAUUAUAUUCAUCAGAUAGCUUGCUAUUUGCCCAGUCGUGCUGAUGUUCUCCCUAAUGAUAUAUCAGCUAAACAGCCAGGAUAUGCGUGUGUUCUUGCAAAUGUACUCGAAGCUGCAACUUGGAUUUUGUCCGAACCAAAGUUCGCUUCUGAUAGAGCGGCUGACAUCAUUGCUGUUUCCACAUCAUUAUUGGAUGCGUUGCCGACGAUCACUUCAGCUACCGAAAGGGCAGAUGAUGACGAUGACAUGGCCAUGGAUGUCGAUGUUAAAGAUGAGCUUGAUAUUGAUUUGCAAAAACAGAUAAUGGCAGCAUUUGAUUCAAAUACAAAGUUACUUGAACAUUUAGUGAAUGCUCUGUUCACAGGCACCUUAAGCACAAACUAUUCUGAUCCAUCUGGGCCAUCAGAUGCUGAAGUGGAAGCUGUAGGGUCUAUCUGUGCUUUUCUUCAUGUCAUGUUCAGCACAUUGCCUCUGGAUGUAACUAUGACUGCGCUCGCCUAUCGUACUGACAUUGUUCCUGCACUAUGGAACUUUAUAAAGCGAUGCCACGAAAACAAAAGAUGGCCAUAUUUUUCCAAGUAUAUCUCUCCUUUGUCUGUAGAUGCUCCUGGUUGGCUCCUGCCUGUGUCUGUAUUCUGUCCCAUAUACAAGUACAUGUUAAAGAUUGUUGAUAAUGAGGAAUUCUAUGAGCAGGAGAAACCUCUUUCACUUAAAGAUUUGAAGGCCCUGGUCCUCAUUUUAAAGCAGGCUUUAUGGCAACUUCUUUGGAUUAUUCCUUCACAUACCUCUCCUAGCCAGAAAGCAUUGCCCAAUCCUUUAGGCCUUAAGAAAAUGUCCAUCGACAGUCUUAAGAGCCAGGCAAGGAAUGGGUUAUCUGAAUUACUUACCCAGUUGCAAGACUGGAACAGCCGACUCCCAUUCACUGCCGAAAGUGAUUUCUAUUCUCAAGAAGCAACAAGUGAAAAUUUUGUUUCUCAGGCGAUACUUGGCAACACUCGAGCAUCAGAGAUUAUAAAGCUUGCUCCCUUUUUGGCACCUUUUACUAUUAGAGUUAAAAUAUUUACUUCACAAUUGGCAAAUUCUAAACAAUCGACGGCAUCUCAUUCCGCCUUGACAAGACAUCGGUUUAAAAUAAGAAGAAGUCGACUCCUCGAAGAUGCUUUUGAUCAGCUAAGCUUGCUCUCUGAAGAAGAUCUUAAAGGACCAAUCCGAGUAUCAUUUGUUAAUGAGCAUGGUGUGGAAGAAGCUGGAAUUGAUGGAGGUGGAAUUUUCAAAGAUUUCAUGGAAAAUAUCACUCGUGCUGCUUUUGAUGUGCAGUAUGGCCUAUUCAAGGAAACAGUCGAUCAUGUUCUGUACCCCAACCCUGGAUCAGGAUUGGUUCAUGAGCAGCAUCUGCAGUAUUUCCAUUUUCUUGGAAGUCUCCUUGGGAAGGCAAUGUAUGAGGGCAUACUUGUUGAUCUGCCAUUUGCAACCUUCUUCUUGAGCAAGCUGAAAGAGAAGUCUAACUUCUUGAACGAUCUGCCUUCCUUGGAUCCAGAGUUGUAUCGACAUCUUCUAUUUUUGAAGCAUUACAAGGGCGACCUGUCAGAUUUGGAGUUGUACUUCGUUAUUGUGAAUAAUGAAUAUGGUGAACAAGCUGAAGAAGAGCUCCUUCCUGGCGGGAGAGAGAUGCGUGUUACUAAUCAGAAUGUUAUUACGUUUAUCCACCUUGUUGCCAACCAUCGAUUAAACUAUCAGAUCCGUGGACAAGGUAGGCAUUUUCUAAGAGGUUUUCAAAAACUUAUACCAAAGGAAUGGAUUGAUAUGUUCAAUGAACAUGAAAUUCAGCUUCUCAUAUCUGGCUCUUUGGAAAGUUUGGACAUUGAUGACUUGCGCUUAAACACCAACUAUUCUGGAGGUUAUCAUCCGGACCAUGAGAUUAUCGAUAUGUUGUGGGAGGUUCUAAAGAGCUUCAGUUCAGAUAAUCAGAAAAAGUUUCUCAAGUUUGUGACUGGAUGUUCUCGCGGGCCACUCCUUGGAUUUGAGUACCUUGAUCCUAAAUUCUGCAUUCAGAGAGCUGGUGUCCCCGGCUUGGAGGAACAUGGAGACCGUUUGCCCACCUCGGCUACUUGCAUGAACCUUCUUAAGCUCCCUCCUUACAGAACCAAGGAGCAGUUGCAAACCAAACUGUUGUAUGCAAUAAACUCGGAAGCCGGUUUCGAUCUGAGCUAA